GAAUUUUCCGCAAUGGGCGAAAGCCUGACGGAGCAAUACCGCGUGAGGGAUGGCGGCCUAUGGGUUGUAAACCUCUUUUCUCAGGGAGGAAUCAAUGACGUGUACCUGAGGAAUAAGCAUCGGCUAACUCCGUGCCAGCAGCCGCGGUAAGACGGAGGAUGCAAGUGUUAUCCGGAAUCACUGGGCGUAAAGCGUCUGUAGGUGGUCAAAUAAGUCAACUGUUAAAUCUUGAGGCUCAACCUCAAAAUCGCAGUCGAAACUAUUAGACUAGAGUAUAGUAGGGGUAAAGGGAAUUUCCAGUGGAGCGGUGAAAUGCGUAGAGAUUGGAAAGAACACCGAUGGCGAAGGCACUUUACUGGGCUAUUACUAACACUGAGAGACGAAAGCUAGGGUAGCAAAUGGGAUUAGAUACCCCAGUAGUC
rnacentral:rRNA from 1 species